CCCCUGUAUCUUUUUAUUCUAACUAUUGUCAUGACUGUUGGUUGCUGUGUCUAACAAAAGUCAUGGUCUUGAUUUGAAGGUACAUUUUCUCGGCUAACACACUCUACAAGUUUGAAUCUACUGGAUUAUGUACUAUCAAGUAAACUGUUAAUCCAGAGGUACUUUAAUAAAAUGGCAGCAAACGUCCGAUCAAGAACAUGACAUUCUUCAAGUGGUCAUGCAUUCAGGACUUUAGUAUCUGUCACGAUGGUUCCUUGAAAAACAGCAAUUGAAUGACAAGUUAAUUUUCUUGGCCUUUUCUGACAACUGUAUGGAGUAGAUAUCGAUCUUUGAACCCGGUGUUGAAAGUUUUCUGCCAUAACUGUCGUUGCUAUUUCUAAAGAUGUGAUGCUGACUCUGUGUCCAGUGUGUUUCUCUUUUACAAAUGAUUCUCUGCUGUAAAGGUGGGAAGGCUUGCACAUUUUGAUCUUCUAUGGCACCAUAUAUUCUUAAUUCUUCUCUUUCCCAUGAUUACUACUAAAAGAAUUUUGGCUAUAUUAAAUAAAAUCUAUUCACAGAAUAAAAAGGUAAUAAGAUAUAUAAAACGUGUGUAAAA
rnacentral:lncRNA from 1 species